GUACGAUAUACGCAUCGUUUUAUAAACUCCGGUCGCUGAGCCAGUUUUCAUGGCCGAUUGAGUUCCACGAAAACGACCU